rnacentral:tRNA from 1 species
GGAGGUGUGGCCGAGCGGUUUAUGGCGCCAGUCUUGAAAACUGGUUGGGGCUUUGGGCCCCUCACAGGUUCGAAUCCUGUCACCUCCG